rnacentral:siRNA from 1 species
GUAUUAGUGGCUCCAUUACCG